rnacentral:lncRNA from 1 species
CAUAAACACAAAAAAAAAAAAAAAAAAAUCCGAUAUUUUGGGGGAUAUACAUUUUUUAGUUGUUUUUGUAAAUUCUUUUUUACCUAAUAAAACAUAUAUAUGUGUUACUAUACACACAUAACAUAUGUACAUAUAUUAACCACUUUUUUUUUUUUUUUUUUUUUUUUUUUAUCUCUCCUCAACUUUAUUCUUCUUCAGUUUUAACUACUUCAACUUUGUCAACCUCAACAGCAUUUUCCUCAACUUUUUCUACUUCAGUUUUAUCUACCUGAGCAGUAUCUUCCUCAGCUUUUUCUACCUGAACAAUAUCUUCUUCAACUUUGUGUACUUGAGCAAUAUCCUCCUCAACAUUGUUUAUCUGAGCAAUAUUUUCUUCUCUUUUGUCUAUCUGAACAGUAUUUUCCUCAACUUUUUCUACUUCAGUUUUAUCUACCUGAACAGUAUCUUCCUCAACUUUGUCUACCUGAACAAUAGUCUCCUCAAUUUUGUCCACUUGAGCAGUAUCCUGUUCAUUUUUAUUUUCUAUAAUGUUAUCUUCCACAAUCAGAUCCCCCUCAGUUUUAUUUUCUGCGUUCGUAUUAUCCCCCUUCUCAGUUAUGUCCUUAUUCAUUUCCCCAUUACAUGUUUGUCCAGUUUGCAAAUCCGCUAAUGUAUUAUCAACUUUUGUAUCACUUGAUUUAUUUUUUUGAAUUUCUUCAUUAUUUUCUUUUUCUUGCUCACUAGUUUUUUUAUCAUUUAUAUUUUUAAAUUGUUCAUUUUCACUUGACUCAACUACUUCUUCAUUAUUUUUAUCAGUUUUUAUAUUUUCAUCAAUAUUAUUUACUGCUAUAUUUGUUUUUGUAUUUAAUUUUAUUACAGUACCAUCAUUGUCGUCUUUUGUUGUUUUAUUCGUUUCUUCUGAUAAUAUAUUAUUUUCUUCAUUUUUAAUUUUUUUGCUUGUUUUUCCUUUCAUGUCUUUUAUUUUAGUUUGUUUUUUUGCAAAACAGUAUCACUAUUUUUCACUGUAUUUAAGUUUGACUGCUCUUUUAAGUUUUCGUCUU